rnacentral:rRNA from 1 species
AUUGAACGCUGGCGGCAUGCUUUACACAUGCAAGUCGAACGGUAACAGGCCGCAAGGUGCUGACGAGUGGCGAACGGGUGAGUAAUGCAUCGGAACGUGCCCAGUCGUGGGGGAUAACGCAGCGAAAGCUGCGCUAAUACCGCAUACAAUCUGUGGAUGAAAGCGGGGGACCGAAAGGCCUCGCGCGAUUGGAGCGGCCGAUGUCAGAUUAGGUAGUUGGUGGGGUAAAGGCCCACCAAGCCAACGAUCUGUAGCUGGUCUGAGAGGACGACCAGCCACACUGGGACUGAGACACGGCCCAGACUCCUACGGGAGGCAGCAGUGGGGAAUUUUGGACAAUGGGCGCAAGCCUGAUUCAGCAAUGCCGCGUGCAGGAAGAAGGCCUUCGGGUUGUAAACUGCUUUUGUACGGAACGAAACGGUCCGGGUUAAUACCCUGGGCUAAUGACGGUACCGUAAGAAUAAGCACCGGCUAACUACGUGCCAGCCGCCGCCGUAACAC